UACUUUUGCAAUGUACUAGCAGAAGCGGUGUCAUUGUACAGAAAGAAACAGUCUAUCGCAAGAAAGAUACGACUGUAAAAUCAAACGAUUCCUUCAUUUCUUUGUUAAGAUCGAUGUCUUGUCCCGUUUUUCUGUCCCAGUAUCCUCUCUAGGGAUUUUUGGAGUUCUGUAUCAGCCUGAGAAAGUCUUCAAAGAGAGGAAAAGAAAAACAAAUAGCAAUGCAAUGUUACCCACUUCAGUGGGUUGAGCUAAAGAAAUCUGGCUCAGGAAUAUUGUUCACACAAAAGAACAACAUCUCUUCACUGCAAGCCCAGACCCUGAGAUAGAGUAUAUAAAAGCCCAGGAAAAGAAAUGGAGUGGCAGUGACAGAUAUGCUGCCAGCUGACAGAAACCCCCACCAGGCUGCAGAAUGGGAUAGUUUGGGACAACUCAGUUCAAUGUCAUCCAGCUGUCAGAUGUAUAUCUGGACUUUGACGUGUGCUGUGGUCUGACAUCCAUCAUCCUUAUCCAGCUGUUAACGGCAUGCAUGACCUGCCCUGGCCCUCGGAAGGUUCAUGCCCACGAACAUUUGUGGCCCACUGUUGGCCAAGGAUCCCUGUGAAUCCCAUUUACAGAAGGGGUUACUAUUGUCUGUUUUGCUUAAAGAAAUGGGAAUCUCAACCUGUCCUUAACAUCUUCUGACGAAUGCCAAACCCUAAACCUAUCGUAUUUUUAGUGUAGUUUCACACUGCGAGGUUUCAUGGCAAAUAAGUGUUAAAAUAAGUUACUUUCUAUGGCAGUUGUUCAAAUCUGCUUACAAAAGCUGUCUGUUAAAAGAGAAAACUAGCAGCAGUAAGCAGGAUAUUGACACUUGAUAUAUAGCCUACAGAAAAGUUUAGGUCUGAGGAUUGAAGUGUAAGACGUUUUAUGGUUGAGAAUUUCAUACUUCCCAAAUUGUCCCAAGUAUACACAAUAAAACGCUAAGAAACAAAAGAAAGACAAAAAAGUUAUAUUUGCAACAGCAAAAACCAAUAGUUUUGUGUGAGAUGUUUGUCAGAACAUAAAAGUCCAGUGUGCAGCAUUUGAUUGAAAGUUGAAAAUUAUAUAGGAGGAUUAAUAGAACUGGGAUUUGAUCUUCUCACUUCUUCAUCCUAAGUCCUGUUAGACCUUAGUGGCAGGAUUUUGGCAGGUCAAAAACUUAAACUAGAACAAGACUCCUAAGGACAAGGGCAGGCAAACUACUACUAGGAGCAAAAGUUCCUGGAAAGUGCAUAUUUAGAUAACCGGCAUUUACUGGUGGACAUGGAGAAAUAUUUUUUAGGUCAGGCAUCAUCGAGUGAUGCUAAGCAAGAACGAGCUAAAUGUAGAAGAUCUCCAGUUAGGUUUUUUUAUGAAGCUGUUUUUAUUGAGAACAGAGCAGAGCAGUUACUUGAAAGGUAUGACCAUUAUAAAGGCUGUCACUAAAUGUAAUCUGAAUCAAAUUAACCUCUAUUUAAAUGUGUAAAAUUAUGAAGUGGACCUUGGAAAAAUUGUAAGGGGUCCUUGCCCCCCAAAUAAUGACAAUCCCUCAUUUACAUGAGGACUACAUAUCAAAACAGAAGUUACAACUGAUACCAACUUAUCUGUAUUGAUAAUUGUGCUGUACUGCAACAGAA